ensembl:lncRNA
AUCAAGAAGAAGAAAAAGUGGAGAGCAAGAAAACGGAAGAGACAGCAGGAAAAAGAACCGGCAGUGGACGUAGGAAGAGCCGAAGAACUCCAAGUAGCCCCACAGCCGGCAGCGGGAGAGGAGGGCAGCGAUGGUCCACACCUCCCAGCAGGUACUGUGUGUGGUAGCUUGGAGAGAAUCUCUGCUGGGUCAGUGGAGAAGAUGGAACCUCCUCUACUUGAGGACUUCCACUCCACAAAGGCCAUUCCUGGAGCCAGCAAUGAUCCAGCAGGAAAUUUGCUGGAUCAGAUCGAGGCUGAAGCCGAGGCCGAGGCCAUUAAAGCGCUCAUGUCCACUGACCUGGAUGAGGAGGCGGACAACAACCAACCUCUGGAGAAUCAGACGACGAGCAGUGAAGCAGAAGCCAUCGAACAACUGAUGGAAGCCUUACUGCAGGAGGUUGAGGCACACAGCGCCGCUCUGACUGAAACAGAAGAACUGAUGAACGACGUUCCUGCAAAUGAAGUCAAAGCAGAGGAACAAGAGAGAAACAUCAGCUCAGAGACAUGUGAGACAACUGAAGCAGACAAAGAAGACCUCUCUACGCGAAUAUCAGGAGACAGAGGCAUCCAAGUGGGAGGUGUCGAUCAGUCGCGACACCAGCAAGCAUUUGGAGAGAAAAGAACUCUGUCAGAGAACUCAGGACCCUGUGAAAGAGCACCGGAAACGGAUCCUCAGGAGCAGAGGAGGGCGCAGAGAAAGGAGGGUAGGAGAGAGUCAUGCCACUGGACAGUUAAACAUGCUCUGAAGACCCUACAAGCCCCUCCCGAGGAAAAGAGUGCUCCACAGAGGGAGUACAGAACACAGCCUGAGAACCCAAGAAGCUGUGUACGAGCACCUAACACUGAUCCUCAGCAGCAGAGGAGGGCGCAGAGAAAGGAGGGUAGGAGAGAGUCAUGCCACUGGACAGUUAAACAUGCUCUGAAGACCCUACAAGCCCCUCCCGAGGAAAAGAGUGCUCCACAGAGGGAGUACAGAACACAGACUGAGAACCCAAGAAGCUGUGUACGAGCACCUAACACUGAUCCUCAGCAGCAGAGGAGGACACAGAGGAAGGAGGAUAGGGGGGAGGUGCGUCAUUGGACAUUUAAAUAUGCUCUGAAGACCCUCCAAGCCCCUCCUGUCAGUGCUCCACAGACAGACAGUAGAGAGUGUCUCAGAGUCAGAACAGCUGACAUCAGGCAGAAGACCCAUCCCACACCACCAAACAAGCCGAGAGACAGAGGAUGUCGAAAGGGCGAGUAUGGGAGAGGAGCUGCCCAGGGCUGGCAGAGCGAGUCCUGUUGCCAGAGGAGGGACGCUCCACGAACUCCUUCAAACAACGGAGGACGUGUGAGCGAGAGAGGAAAGAGAGGAAAUCCCGCUCAGUGUACCCCUGCACGCACUGAGAGGAAUCAACGGACUGUGAGAGAACCCAACUGGCAGCAGCACGAAGACCGCUCUGCAGAACCUGAAGAGAGAGAGACCAGAGACAGAGGCCAGAAAAAGAAAUGGUCAAAUGGAAACAGGCAGUGGAGGAGUGGGAGAAGACCGGAUGCCUCACAUUGACCAGUGAAAAACCCACAGAAGGUGAAGCACAGGUCAUUAAAGAUCUAGUGCUCACUGACCUACAGAGACACAGACUGACAGACUGACUCAGACUAGAACUCCACCUCUACACUACAACCAAACCAAUCAUCACAAACAGCUGCUGCUUAUUCAUGGUAAAGCAGGAGAUGAGAUGCUUGAGGUGGUGCCCACAGGAGAUGAAGCACGGGUCAUUAAAUCUGCUAUUAAUAUUAUUAGUAUAAUCAUUUGUAGGUAGCUUGACCAGAGGAGGAUGGGUCCCCCCCUGGUGAGCCUGGUUCCUCCCAAGGUUUCUUCCUCAGCUCUGAGGGAGUUUUUCCUUGCCACUGUCUGCCUUGGCUUGCUCACCUGGGGGUUUUUACACUUCUUGUUAAAACUCUUUCUUUUCUGGAAUUCUGUGAAGCUGCUUUACGACAACAUCCGUUGUAAAAAGCGCUACACAAAUCAAUUUGAUUUGAUUUGUUUAAAGAUCUAGUGCUCUUUGACCUACAGAUACACAGACUGACAGACUGACUCUGACUAGAACUUCAACUCUGCACUACAAUCAAACAAAUCCAUCUCUCAAACAGCCAUCCCACCGGAGAGAAAUCAACAGAACAACACUUUUAAAGCUUAAAGCCAAUAAAAGACUAACAGCAGACUCUGUU